UACGUAGGGCGCAAGCGUAUCCGGAAUUAUUGGGCGUAAAGAGCUCGUAGGCGGUUUGUCGCGUCUGCCGUGAAAGUCCGGGGGCUCAACUCCGGAUCUGCGGUGGGUACGGGGCAGACUAGAGUGAUGUAGGGGAGGACUGGAAUUCCUGGGUGUAGCGGUGAAAUGCGCAGAUAUCAGGAGGAACACCGGUGGCGAAGGCGGGUCUCUGGGCCAUAACUGACGGUGAGGAGCG
rnacentral:rRNA from 1 species